rnacentral:rRNA from 1 species
CUUUUAUGGAGAGUUUGAUCCUGGCUCAGGACGAACGCUGGCGGCGUGCCUAAUACAUGCAAGUCGAGCGGAGUUAUUCCUUCGGGGAUGGCUUAGCGGCGGA